rnacentral:piRNA from 1 species
UCCCAAAGUGCUGGAAUUACAGGCGUGA